CCUGGUUGAGGAGUUUUCCUUUGUUUCUUAUUAUUUGCCGUUAAUAUGCAUGUCUCAUUGCCUUUGUUCAAUUACGGCUUCUACUGAUUUUUCAAUAGGCAUGUUUGAAUGCCUAUCUUGCCUACGGAAAGUGAUUGCUUUUGCUGAAUCUAUUUGGGUUAUCAACUUGUUUCUUUCAUUGUUUCCUAAAACUCCUAUGGCAUCUCCUCUAUGAACUGGUUUGAGUUUUAGUUUUUCCUAAAACUUGUUCUGUACAAUCUUUCACUUUACUGCUUUUUGAUUGCUACGUCUAUCUGUGUAUUUCUUCAAAGAACUCUGAAAGAGUUCCCCAGGAUUGUUGAGUUUUCCUUCUCUUUUGAGUGUCCUAUUUGGAUUGAAACCUUAUUUGUGGGUUUUGUGAGCUUUUGGUUCUAAGGUUCUACCCUGGAAACCAUAGGCUCUCAAGCUCAUGUUAAGUUCAUAGACUGAAAUAAAACUUGUUGUCCUUUUGCUUCUGAC
rnacentral:lncRNA from 1 species